rnacentral:siRNA from 1 species
UUGUUUGGGAAUGCAGCCCCAA